GGGAGGCGGCGGACGGCUCAGGACAACGGUUGCACCCCCCGCGGCGGUCCCUGCUAGCCGGACACCGCUGGCAACCCGGCGCCAAGACGUGCGCGCAAGGGCGGGAGCCCGCGGGCGAGCAGCGUGACGCAGA
rnacentral:rRNA from 1 species